rnacentral:rRNA from 1 species
AUACGGAGGGUGCAAGCGUUAAUCGGAAUUACUGGGCGUAAAGGGCGCGUAGGCGGUCUAUCAAGUCAGGUGUGAAAUCCCACGGCUCAACCGUGGAGGUGCAUCUGAAACUGAUAGACUUGAGUAUGGGAGAGGAAAGUGGAAUUCCCGGUGUAGAGGUGAAAUUCGUAGAUAUCGGGAGGAACACCAGUGGCGAAGGCGACUUUCUGGACCAAUACUGACGCUGAGGCGCGAAAGCGUGGGGAGCAAACAGGAUUAGAAACCCGAGUAGUCC